rnacentral:ncRNA from 2 species
UUUUGAGGUAGAGGUUGCAAAAAUCACGAGUAGGUUUCUUGAAGCGCGCGAAACGCUAAGGAUGGGAAUCAAAAAGGAGUUUUGCCGAAGUCAAAUAAAUUUUUGCGGUUUAUUUGGUUGGGACGGUUUGUGAAAGCGGCCGGACUGCUACUAGAAUAGUCUAUUUUAGUAGGUGCGCUAUCUGACAA